CGCGUAGCUCAGUUGGUUAGAGCAUCUGACUUUUAAUCAGAGGGUCGAAGGUUCGAAUCCUUCCGCG
rnacentral:tRNA from 1 species